AAUCGGGGACCAGCUUAUGGUUGCGCGAAAGAAGCUGACGGCGGCGGGGAGGAAGCUGACGGCGAGACUCGAAGCAAGAAGACCAGCCCGGGGACCUGCUGGUUCUGCCGCCGGAGACGAUGAGCGCAAGGAAGGCGCGCGACUGAGUGCGAGACGGUGACGAGACAGAGCGCGACGAUGAGGACCAGUAGGGACCUGCUGCCGCCGGCGACAACGAGCGCAGGGAAGGCGCGAGCGCGACUGAGUACGAGACUGGAGACGGUGAGAGAGACCGGAGACGAGAGUGGAAGAGAGCUUGAGUGCGAGAGCCAGUGAGCCACAGGGAGAGAGAUGAGAGAGCUCUAGCUUCAGUGAGCGAGUGACGAGAGGAAGGAGACGUUCAGGGCUGAAGAGAAACGACGUCGUAUGCUCGUAUCGAGUGGGGUGGAAAGGGGAAAUCCUAGUGGGAUUAUGGCCUUAUAUGGGUAUCGAUGGAGAGAAGGGUGGGACUGCGAGUGUUGAUGAUGAUGGGCUUUUCUUUCUAGUCAGGUUCUAUGACCAAAAAUAAAAGGCAAACAUCUCUUCACAUUUUUAGAUUUUUACAUAUCACAUGCCAGGUCCAGUGAUGUUUAGAAUUGACGGGGCUCUCUAAUUCAUUUGAUAAAAAACAUUACAGAUCCUCCAAUAUAAAAGAAAAAAAGCUUUGACAUAUCCGCAUUCACCACAUUUUAAAGGGAAAAGAAAAAGAACAAUUGGUUCAAAAGACUUUUAAAAAUGAAAGAACAACAAUAAGGAACCUACACAAUUACAAUCUUUCACAAAAAAGAAUGGAUCCUUCUUUUCAACAAAUGAGAAAAGAGAAAAAAAAAAUGAUUGCUCUACUUCUAGGGGCACUACUUCUAGAUACAUCUUAGAGCAAAGCAUAUCUAGUCAAACAUGACACAUCCACACGUGAUUUUCCAUUUGUAUGCCUGAUUGACAAAUCAAAAUCCUCGUAUCCUAAUCUAUCUCCCUCUUCCUUCCAGUAUGAACUCUCUCCAAUUUUUCUUGGGCAAGUGAAAGGAAGAAAAGGCCAUCAAUUCUAGAUUACAAAGAAUGGGGCAUGAUAACUAUGAUGUAGGAGAGAGCCCCUAUGAUGAUCCUUUUUUGAAGGGAUGUUGCUGCUGCCAUUGUUUUUGGGGCAUCUCUUCCAUUUUCAGUUGCAUUCAGAGAUGGUUCCUUUUGAUUUGUGACCCUUUCUUCAAGUGUUUUGGCAACAAUAAUGUUCUUGUUAUGCAUACAAGUUGUGUCAGUUAAAUAUAGUGUUUAUUAUUUAAGAAAUUACAUCAAAAUUCAGUGAUAAUAAAGUAGGUAAACAAAUGUUGAAAAAACAUUUAUCUGUGUACAUAGAUAUAAUAGAAAAUUUAAGCAAAGGCUAGCAUAAGCUUUUGGGUUUUUUAAGAGUUAUGCAGCAGGUUGUAUGAU